UGGGGAAUAUUGGACAAUGGGCGAAAGCCUGAUCCAGCCAUGCCGCGUGUGUGAAGAAGGUCUUCGGAUUGUAAAGCACUUUAAGUUGGGAGGAAGGGCAUUAACCUAAUACGUUAGUGUUUUGACGUUACCGACAGAAUAAGCACCGGCUAACUCUGUGCCAGCAGCCGCGGUAAUACAGGGGGUGCAGGCGUGAAUCGGAAUUACUGGGCGUAAAGCGCGCGUAGGUGGUUUGUUAAGUUGGAUGUGAAAUCCCCGGGCUCAACCUGGGAACUGCAUUCAAAACUGACUGACUAGAGUAUGGUAGAGGGUGGUGGAAUUUCCUGUGUAGCGGUGAAAUGCGUAGAUAUAGGAAGGAACACCAGUGGCGAAGGCGACCACCUGGACUAAUACUGACACUGAGGUGCGAAAGCGUGGGGAGCAAACA
rnacentral:rRNA from 1 species